UUACUUACUCUAGUGUAGGGCUAGGCUAGUCAACCUAGGCUAGGCUAGCCUAGCCUAGCCUCACAAAGCUGAUGUGAAGAGAGAGAAAAGGCUUCAUUCCCUCUUUUAAGGAAGUUAAAAAUUAGGCUGAGCUGUGGAACCACAAUGUUAAUACUAAUCACUGGGAUCUCACACAAGAAUUGCCUAGGCAAUGAUAUCAGCCUGUGAGGAGAACAAUAACUUUGCUUUAAUGGUAAUGGAUUCGCACUUUUCCCCAGUGCAAAUAAUGACAAAAUCUGCUAAGGACAACUGACCAAGGUUUAUAAAGUGUAUUUCCAAGCAGAUGAAAAGUGAAACGGAGUUUAUAGCAUCCAAAACAUCAACCAGGUGAAGAAAGUAUUGAUGCACCAAGAGAUUAAGACAAGAAAUUCAAGGUCACAUGGCUGGUAAAUGUUCGUUGAGCAACACUAAACCGCCCCUAAGAGCAUAUGCCAAUGAAGAGAAGACCAAGCAAGCACCUUCUUGUUUUCAUAAGCAAUGAAACAUGCUUAUUUCUAACUGUGCUUAUAUCCAACCCAUUCUUCCUGCCUUCUCCUCCUUUUUGCAAGGAAUGGAGGAGGAAAUAACUGCAGAAGGCAAGUGACUUUCAAAAGUUUCCAAGAUGGGCAGCCUGGGUGGCUCAGCGGUUUAGUGCUGCCUUCAAGCCCAGGACAUGAUCCUGGAGACCUGGGAUCAGAGUCUCAUGUUGGGAUCCCUGCAUGGAGCCUGCUUCUCCCUCUGCCUGCC